UACGAAGGGGGCAAGCGUUGUUCGGAAUUACUGGGCGUAAAGGGCGCGUAGGCGGUGCACUAAGUCAGGCGUGAAAGCCCUGGGCUCAACCCGGGAAUUGCGCUUGAUACUGGUGCGCUUGAAUCCAGGAGAGGUUGGUGGAAUUCCCAGUGAUAGAGGUGAAAGUUCGUAGAGAUUGGGAAGAACACCGGUGGCGAAGGCGGCCAA
rnacentral:rRNA from 1 species